CCUACGGGUGGCAGCAGUGGGGAAUAUUGCACAAUGGGGGCAACCCUGAUCCAGCGACGCCGCGUGAGGGAAGAAGUAUUUCGGUAUGUAAAGCUCUUUCAGCAGGGAAGAAAAUGACGGUACCUGACCAAGAAGCCCCGGCUAACUACGUGCCAGCAGCCGCGGUAAUACGUAGGGGGCAAGCGUUAUCCGGAUUUACUGGGUGUAAAGGGAGCGUAGACGGGAGGUCAAGUCUGGAGUGAAAGGCGGGGGCUCAACCCCCGGACUGCACUUGAAACUGCCAGGCUUGAGUGCAGGAGAGGUAAGUGGAAUUCCUAGUGUAGCGGUGAAAUGCGUAGAUAUUAGGAGGAACACCAGUGGCGAAGGCGGCUGACUGGACUGUAACUGACGUUGAGGCUCGAAAGCGUGGGGAGCAAACAGGAUUAGAUACCCUUGUAGUC
rnacentral:rRNA from 1 species